AGGGUUCGAUUCUGGCUCAGGAUGAACGCUGGCGGCGUGCCUAACACAUGCAUGUCGAACGGAGCCUACUUCGAAGGAGACUUCGGUCAACGGAAGGGUAAGCUUAGUGGCGGACGGGUGAGUAACGCGUGGAGAACCUGCCCUGUACAGGGGGAUAACAGUGAGAAAUCACUGCUAAUACCGCAUAAGCGCACAGUACCGCAUGGUACAGUGUGAAAAACUCCGGUGGUACAGGAUGGCUCCGCGUUGGAUUAGCCAGUUGGCGGGGUAACGGCCCACCAAAGCGACGAUCCAUAGCCGGCCUGAGAGGGUGAACGGCCACAUUGGGACUGAGACACGGCCCAGACUCCUACGGGAGGCAGCAGUGGGGAAUAUUGCACAAUGGGGGAAACCCUGAUGCCAGCGACGCCGCGUGAAGGAAGAAGUAUCUCGGUAUGUAAACUUCUAUCAGCAGGGAAGAUGAUGACGGUACCUGACUAAGAAGCCCCGGCUAACUACGUGCCAGCCGCCGC
rnacentral:rRNA from 1 species